ensembl:lncRNA
UGGAAGACCUUUCCUACAAAAAGGAGGAAGGGGAGGUGGCAACUGCAGUCCAGACCGAGCCUAUCCCCAGGGUGUGUGGAGAUCCACCCCCACUGGAAAGGCCAGAUGUCAUCCUGCCUAUCCUGAAGGAUGACAGAUCCUACAUGCUCUGUGGAUAUUGGGCUGAUGGGUCUGAAACACCAGUGCAGGUUUCUGCUGAGCCUUGGCACCUUACAACCCAGCAGCCCAUCUGCUGUGCUGAGGCCAUUGUGGUGGAAAACCCCUACCACCAAAAGGAGGAAGUGGAGUUGGCAUCUACAGACCAGGCCAAGGCUAUCCCCAUGGUGUGUGGAGACCCACCCCCACUGGAAGGGCCAGAUGCCAUCGUGCCUGUCCUCAAGGAUGACAGAUCCUACCUGCUCUGUGGAUACUGGGCUGAUGAGCCUGAAGCACCAGCCCAGGCCUGGGCUAGGGCCUGGCACUUUACAACCCAGCAACCCCUCUGCUGUGCUGAGGCCAUUGUGGUGGAAGACUCCUCAAACAAAAAGGAGAAAGUCAAGGGGGCAUCCUCAGAUCAGGCUGAGGCUAUGUCCAGGGUGGGUGAAGAUCCACCCCCACUGGAAGGGCCAGAUGUCAUCACACCUAUCCUCAAGGAUGAUGGGUCCUACAUGCUCUGUGGAUUUUGGGCAGAUGAUCCUGAAGCACCAGUCCAGGCCUGUGCUGAGCCCUGGUACCUUACAACCCAGAAGCCCAUUUGCUGUGCUGAAGCCAUUGCGGGGUGUGUGGAGACCCACCCCCACUGGAAGGGCCAGAUGCCAUCGUGCCUAUCCUCAAGGAUGACGGAUCCUACCUGCUCUGUGGAUACUGGGCUGAUGAGCCUGAAGCACCAGUCCAGGCCUGGGCUGGAGCCUGGCACUUUACAACCCAGCAGCCCAUCUUCUGUGCUGAGGACACUUUGGUGGAAGAGCCCUCAUUUCAAGAGGAGGAAGGUGUGGUGGCACCUGCAGACCAGGCCGAGGCUAAUCAGAGCCUCUGCUCUGCAUCACACCUCAGGGUGUGUGAAGAUCCACCCCCACUGGAAGGGCCAGAUGUCAUUGUGCCUAUUCUCAAGGAUGAUGGAUCCUACAUGCUCUGUGCAGUUUGGAUGGAUGAUCCUGAAGUGCCGGUCCAGGCCUGGGCUAGGGCCUGGCACCCUACAACCCAGCAACCCAUCUGCUGUGCUGAGGCCAUUGUGGUGAAAGAUGCCACCUACCAAAAAGAGAAAGUCAUGUUGGCAACUGCUGAUUGGGCUGAGGCUACCUCCAGGGUGGGUGGAGAUCCACCACCACUGGAAAGGCCAGAUGCCAUUGUGCCCAUCCUCAAGGAUGAUGGAUCCUACAUGCUCUGUGCAUAUUGGGCUGAUGAGCCUGAAGCCCCAGUCCAGGCCUGGGCUGGGGCCCUGCACCCUACAGCCCAGCAGCCCAUCUGCUGUGCGGAGGCCAUUGUGGUUUCCCUCCUUGCAGUGGAAGAUGCCUCCAGCCAGAAGGAGAAAAUAGAGGUGGCAUCUGCAGAGCAGACUGCAGUGGAAGAGCCCUCAUCACAAGAGGAGGAAGGGAAGGUGGCACGUGCAGACCAGGCUGAGGCUAAUCAGAGGGUGUGUGGAGAUCCACCCCCACUGGAAGGGCCAGAUGCCAUUGUGCCUAUCCUCAAGGAUGACGGAUCCUACCUGCUCUGUGGAUACUGGGCUGAUGAGCCUGAAGCACCAGCCCAGGUCUGGGCUGAGGCCUGGCAUGCAAAAACCCAGCAGCCCAUCUGCUGUGCUGAGGCUUUUUGGGUGAGUCCUUAGAUGUGAAUCUUGCUGCAGACCUGUCAAAGUGCCCGAGUGGACUCCUAUGACCCAGGCCUGCUUGCUGUUACUCCCCAGGGAAAGGUGGUGAUGUGGCAGGCUGUCCCCUGGGCUAUAUCUGGAUGGACAGAGGCAGAACCCAUGGUGGAGUUUGCAGCACAGUUGUAGUGUGGCUGGUGUGUCUUAGCCUCAUAGUCCCAGGAUAUGCCCCCCUUUCUGACACUGACACUGGCCUUGUUGUGCCUGAAGCACAUG